UGCUGGGAUUACAGAUGUGAGCCACUGCGCCUGGCCACGCCUUGUUUCUUAUGAUGAGUUUUGUAGCAACAGACUGUUGCUUGUCUUGUUUGUGAAUAUAUUCCAUGAUAAUUUUGCUGUUAAGACUGUUUAUAGGCUGAGUGAAAUGGCUCAUACCCAUAAUCCUACUUUGAGAGGCUGAGGUAGGAGGCUCACCUGAGCCCAGUAGUUUGAGACCAGCCUGGGCAACGUGUCAAGACACUGUGUCUAUUUUAA